GGGUGUAUAACUCAGUUGGUAGAGUAGUGGACUUUUAAUCCAUUUGUCUUGGGUUCGAAUCCCAAUGCACUCA
rnacentral:tRNA from 1 species